rnacentral:rRNA from 1 species
UAUACGACCGUACCGCAAACCGACACUGGUGCGCGAGAUGAGUAUUCUAAGGCGCUUGAGAGAACUCAGGAGAAGGAACUCGGCAAAUUGACACCGUAACUUCGGAAGAAGGUGUGCCCUAUUAGUGUGUAGUGAACAACGAAGCAUGAAUGGGUUGCAAAAAAUCGGUGGCUGCGACUGUUUAUUAAAAACACAGCACUCUGCAAACACGAAAGUGGACGUAUAGGGUGUGACGCCUGCCCGGUGCUGGAAGAUUAAAUGAUGGGGUGCAAGCUCUUGAUUGAAGUCCCAGUAAACGGCGGCCGUAACAAUAACGGUCCUAAGGUAGCGAAAUUCCUUGUCGGGUAAGUUCCGACCUGCACGAAUGGCGUAACGAUGGCCACACUGUCUCCUCCUGAGACUCAGCGAAGUUGAAAUGUUUGUGAUGAUGCAAUCUCCCCGCGGAAAGACGGAAAGACCCCAUGAACCUUUACUGUAGCUUUGUAUUGGACUUUGAACAGAUCUGUGUAGGAUAGGUGGGAGGCUUUGAAGCAGGGUCGCUAGAUCUUGUGGAGCCAACGUUGAAAUACCACCCUGGUGUGUUUGAGGUUCUAACCUAGGUCCAUUAUCUGGAUCGGGGACAGUGCAUGGUAGGCGGUUUGACUGGGGCGGUCUCCUCCCAAAGCGUAACGGAGGAGUUCGAAGGUACGCUAGUUACGGUCGGACAUCGUGACGAUAGUGCAAUGGCAUAAGCGUGCUUAACUGCGAGACUGACAAGUCGAGCAGAUGCGAAAGCAGGACAUAGUGAUCCGGUGGUUCUGUAUGGAAGGGCCAUCGCUCAACGGAUAAAAGGUACUCUGGGGAUAACAGGCUGAUACCGCCCAAGAGUUCAUAUCGACGGCGGUGUCUGGCACCUCGAUGUCGGCUCAUCUCAUCCUGGGGCUGUAGCCGGUCCCAAGGGUAUGGCUGUUCGCCAUUUAAAGAGGUACGUGAGCUGGGUUUAAAACGUCGUGAGACAGUUUGGUCCCUAUCUUCCGUGGGCGCUGCAGAUUUGAGGAAGCCUGCUCCUAGUACGAGAGGACCGGAGUGGACACACCUCUGGUGUAUCGGUUGUCACGCCAGUGGCAUUGCCGAGUAGCUAAGUGUGGAAGAGAUAACCGCUGAAAGCAUCUAAGCGGGAAACUCGUUUCAAGAUGAGAUCUGCCGGGGCCUUGAGCCCCCUAAAGAGUCGUUCAAGACCAGGACGUUGAUAGGUCAGGUGUGGAAGC